rnacentral:rRNA from 1 species
UGGGGAAUAUUGGACAAUGGGCGCAAGCCUGAUCCAGCCAUGCCGCGUGUGUGAAGAAGGCCUUUUGGUUGUAAAGCACUUUAAGCGAGGAGGAGGCUACUUGGAUUAAUACUCUAGGAUAGUGGACGUUACGCGCAGAAUAAGCACCUGCUAACUCUGUGCCAGCAGCCGCGGUAAUACAGAGGGUGCGAGCGUUAAUCGGAUUUACUGGGCGUAAAGCGUGCGUAGGCGGCUUCUUAAGUCGGAUGUGAAAUCCCUGAACUUAACUUAGGAAUUGCAUUCGAUACUGGGAAGAUAGAGUAUGGGAGAGGAUGGUAGAAAUCCAGGUGUAGCGGUGAGAUGCGUAGAGAUCUGGAGGAAUACCGAUGGCGAAGGCAGCCAUCUGGCAUAAUACUGACGAUGAGGUACGAAAGCAUGGGGAGCAAACAGG